rnacentral:rRNA from 1 species
CUACCUCAAGUCAAGUAAGAAUACCCGCUGAACUUAAGCAUAUCAAUAAGCGGAGGA